CUUAGAUAAAGAAGUAUGAUGGGACAAUUGAUCUCAUCAAUCAUUUGAGCAUAUAUACAGAUAUCAUGAACCUACAGAUUGUCCCUGAUGCGGUAAUGUGCAAGGGCUUUUCUGAGACCUUACUAAUGUGGCUAGAGAUUGGUUUUCAACAUUGGAACCCAACUCUAUGACUUCUUUCUCAAACUUGAUCGAUAAAUUCUCCGCUUUCUUUGCAAGCAGCAAGCGUUUCAGGAAGACAUCCACAUUACUCAUGCAAAUGCGUCAAAGGCCCAAUGAAGUACUUCACAAUUUCAUGACUAGGUUUAAUAAGGAAAGACUUCAAAUUCUCUAUCUAUAUAUCACAGUCGUAGUCUCAACUUUAACAUAUACCAUAAGGUAUGAAAUGUUUAAGAUGUCUCCGUCAAAGACCCUUCCCAAGUCAAUAACCAACGUACUUACCUAAGCUGAGAAAUACAUUAACAUAGAAGAAACCACAGUUCCCAAAGAGAGAUGACCCAUCAUCAAGUAAGCCCAUGCUUAAAAUGCCACAUGAGUCUAAUCUAUAAUAGGAUCCUUCUAAAGGCAAGCCAAGGCAAGACUCCCCCUAACAUCCUUGAAGGGACGACCCCUUCAAGGUACAUCGGAUGAAGUAAAGCAUCACCUCAGCUAUGAUCUUACCUCAACCAUGUAGGAUGGUGAUGUGGUGUGUGGGUUUGGUUAGCUUGCCAGUUGGUUGUCAUGUGACGAUCAUAUGAAGUCUCAUUCAAAGAGGCAUAACACAGG
rnacentral:lncRNA from 1 species